GUCGGCAGCCACGUCAGCAAGCCCGGUCAGCAGUCCCGGCCAACCGGGACCUGCCACGUGGCAAAACCACGUCGUUCCAAAAAGGACCACGUUGGCGAUCCGCGUGGGCGCGAUCGGACGGCCCAGAUCAAGCGUGCGAUCGGACGGCCCAGAUUUAAACGCACGGACGACCCAGAUUUAAUAAAAAACGGACGGCCCAGAUUAAAACAAAAUGGACGGCUGAGAUCAAAAAGCAAGGGGUUAUAAAUAGAACCCCCACACCAGACCACAAACCCUA
rnacentral:lncRNA from 1 species